GCUGAGAUGUCCGAGUGGUUAAGGAGAUGGACUUGAAAUCCAUUGGGUGUUACCCGCGUAGGUUCAAAUCCUGCUCUCAGCG
rfam:Clunio marinus genome assembly, contig: CLTMA_superscaffold_59